ACCUGGCUGGCUCAGUCGGUAGAGCAUAUGACUUUUAAUCUCGAGGUUGUAGGUUCGAGCCCCACGUUGGGUG